ensembl:ncRNA ZK525.7 ncRNA
ACAACAACUGGUGUAAUAAUUACCAGGUGUAAUUAUUGCCGCUCUGAAGUUUUUGGGGAUGCGGCGGUCCAAUAAGGGGUACUGUACGCUAGGUCACGCCUGUUUCAUGGUUCUGAAACUUUGAAGUUAUCGUUUUUAAUAUAAUCUGA